rnacentral:rRNA from 1 species
ACGAACGCUGGCGGCGUGCUUAACACAUGCAAGUCGAGCGGUAAGGCCUUUCGGGGUACCCGAGCGGCGAACGGGUGAGUAACACGUGGGUGAUCUGCCCUGCACUUCGGGAUAAGCCUGGGAAACUGGGUCUAAUACCGGAUAUGACCUCCUAUCGCAUGGUGGGUGGUGGAAAGAUUUAUCGGUGCAGGAUGGGCCCGCGGCCUAUCAGCUUGUUGGUGGGGUAAUGGCCUACCAAGGCGACGACGGGUAGCCGACCUGAGAGGGUGACCGGCCACACUGGGACUGAGACACGGCCCAGACUCCUACGGGAGGCAGCAGUGGGGAAUAUUGCACAAUGGGCGAAAGCCUGAUGCAGCGACGCCGCGUGAGGGAUGACGGCCUUCGGGUUGUAAACCUCUUUCAGCAGGGACGAAGCGCAAGUGACGGUACCUGCAGAAGAAGCACCGGCUAACUACGUG